rnacentral:rRNA from 1 species
AAACUCGCCUACAUGAAGCUGGAGUUACUAGUAAUCGCAGAUCAGAAUGCUGCGGUGAAUGCGUUCCCGGGUCUUGUACACACCGCCCGUCACACCACGGAAGUUGGGGCGCCCGAAGCCACUUAGCUAACCCUUUUGGGAAGCGAGUGUCGAAGGUGAAAUCAAUAACUGGGGUGAAGUCGUAACAAGGUAAC